CAGGACGAACGCUGGCGGCAUGCCUAACACAUGCAAGUCGAACGGAGUAAUGACUUCGGUAUUACGUUAGUGGCGAACGGGUGAGGUAACACGUGAAUAAUCUGCCCUGUACGAUGGGAUAACAGCUGGAAACGGCUGCUAAUACCGUAUAUGACCACGCCGAGGCAUCUCGGAGGGGUGAAAGCGCUUAAGCGGUACAGGAUGAGUUCGCGUCCAAUUAGCUAGUUGGUGAGGUAACGGCCCCACCAAGGCGACGAUUGGUAGCCGACCUGAGAGGGUGAUCGGCCACACUGGAACUGAGACACGGUCCAGACUCCUACGGGAGGCAGCAGUGGGGAAUAUUGGGCAAUGGAGGAAACUUCCUUACCCAGCAAUGCCGCGUGAGUGAUGAAGGUCUUCGGAUUGUAAAGCUCUUUGAUUGGGGACGAAUAAAUGACGGUACCCAAGGAACAAGCCCCGGCUAACUAUGUGCCAGCCGCGGC
rnacentral:rRNA from 1 species